rnacentral:rRNA from 1 species
UACGUAGGGGGCAAGCGUUGUCCGGAUUCAUUGGGCGUAAAGAGCUCGUAGGCGGUUCAGUAAGUCGGGUGUGAAAGCUCCGAGCUCAACUCGGAGAGGCCACCCGAUACUGCUGUGACUUGAGUCCAGUAGAGGAGCGUGGAACUCCUGGUGUAGCGGUGGAAUGCGCAGAUAUCAGGAAGAACACCUGCAGCGAAGGCGGCGCUCUGGGCUGGAACUGACGCUGAGGAGCGAAAGCAUGGGUAGCAAACAGG